rnacentral:rRNA from 1 species
GACGAACGCUGGCGGCGUGCUUAACACAUGCAAGUCGAACGGGUCUGCCCUGUUUUUUGCGGGGUGGGUCAGUGGCGAACGGGUGAGUAACACGUGAGUAACCUGCCCCUCACUUCUGGAUAACCGCUUGAAAGGGUGGCUAAUACGGGGUGUUCUGGCUGUGCCGCACGGUGUGGCUGGGAAAGAUUCACUUUUGUGGUGUUUUGGUGGGGGAUGGGCUCGCGGCCUAUCAGCUUGUUGGUGGGGUGAUGGCCUGCCAAGGCUUUGACGGGUAGCCGGCCUGAGAGGGUGGGCGGUCACACUGGGACUGAGAUACGGCCCAGACUCCUGCGGGAGGCAGCAGUGGGGGGUAUUGCACAAUGGGCGGAAGCCUGAUGCAGCGACGUCGCGUGAGGGAUGGAGGCCUUCGGGUUGUGAACCUCUUUCGCCGGUGAAGAAGGUCCUGCUCUUUGUGGUGGGGUUGACGGUAGCCGGGUUAUGAAGCGCCGGCUAACUACGUG